rnacentral:misc_RNA from 1 species
AAGUCGUAACAAGGUUUCCGUAGGUGAACCUGCGGAAGGAUCAUUAACAAUAAUCCAAAACACCCGUCUUGGCCUCUGCUACUAUCUAUUAUAUUUUGGGGGAUCAACCUCUCUCAAUGUAUAUGUGUGUGUAGACGAGGCCGCUGACAAACACACUAACAUUCAACAUAGACAACCAAUGGAGAACCAAACAAUCUUGAAAGCUGAAAAGCAAACAACUUUUAACAAUGGAUCUCUCGGCUCUU